AUUGAACGCUGGCGGCAGGCUUAACACAUGCAAGUCGAACGAGUGGCGGACGGGUGAGUCACGCUUGGGAAUCUGGCAUAUGGAGGGGGUUAACUACGGGAAACUGUCGCUAAUACCGCGUACCAUAGGCUUAGAACAAGUGGGAUUAGGUAUUGGGUGGGGUAAUGGCGUACCAAGUCGACGAUCUCCAGCUGGUCUGAGAGGGUGACCGGCCAAACUGGAACUGAGACACGGUCCGGACUCCUACGGGAGGCAGCAGUGGGGAAGAUUGCGCAAUGGGGGAAAGCUGACGGAGCCAUGCCGCGUGAGUGAUGAAGGCCUUCGGGUUGUAAAAUGCUUUCGGUGGCGAAGCGUUACUCACAGAAGAAGCACCGGCUAACUCCGUGCCAGCAGCCGCGGUAAUAC
rnacentral:rRNA from 1 species